CUUCCCAUUUACUUGAUGCUAUAAUUUCACAAUGUUAUGAGCAAUUAUAUGCAUGGGAUAAAAUGAUAUCGGACCACUGUAAAUUGAAGUAAAGUAACCAUUCUCCUCUCCUCUAGAUCACCGGACAUUG